UGAGUUGCUGCUCCAUUCCUUCGCUAUAACAUAGAUGGCGUUGCGGAUGGCUUCUUCCAGUGACUGACUGUAACUUCGUUAGAUACAAGUUACAAGUUCGGCGCACGCAAGUGCGGGUGUGUGUCCGUAAAAGCCGGGGGAGGGGGCCAUGGACGUUGUAUUGGCAUUGAUGCGGGUACACGGGAGGUCAUCAGAAGGGCCUUGCUGUAGAUUUUAGCGGGUAGUCUUCCUAGGAAAUUGUACAUGUGGAUCAGAGCCUGCCGGAUGUUCACACCCAGCUGGGAAGCCAGGUCCUGACGGCAGCGGUCAGCAUAGGCAUGGGCAGUUCUCCAUGCUACUGCCUGCAGCGGAUACGACGGUGCAGUAAUGCGGCCUUGAAUGCGGGCCAGUCUUGGACAAGGGCCUCGAUUCCAGCUUACCAGCAGUUAACCUCAUCUCCCAAUUGAUAAGCAGCAAACAUCAAGCAAUGCAGCCGCCUCCCAACCAUGCAGGUGGCUGAAGUGCUCAAUACGUCCCAUCCAUCGCCUUGCACUGCUGCCGAGCUGGAAGACAGGAACAGAGUUGGACUGGAAGGAUGUGGAUGAGCCAUGAUGACGUGUUGAAGUGUAAUCUGAGAUAGUACGAAGGUGAAGAGGCAUGAAGUACAGUGUACGGAAGCGGCAACGUAGCAUGGUAGUACCGUAGUACGGUAAAGUGUCCGAAGUACGGCGUACAGUUGCGGUGAUGUCGUACCGUAGUACUGUUAUAUGGUACUUGAGUAUGGCUAAUAGAGCUCUGUAACUUGGUCUCAAUACCUAGCUGCGCGGGCGGCCGCCCGCCAGGAUGUAAUCCAGACAUUUUGCGUGCAGGGACUGCUUACUGCGCGGCCACUACCUCGACCCUUAGACAUUUGGAUACGGAGAUAUAUAUUUUAAUGAUGAAUACCGAGAGCAUCGAGAUUCGUUCGAAUGCAGCGGAAGGUAUUUUAGCAGUGUAACGUUGAGCGGCGUCCAGCCCAGGCUUUGGAUCGAGAAGAGGUAGAUACAAGACCUCGUUUGUUGCAGUUGUCGGUUUACGGGCAGUCAAAACUCAGUUUGAGAACCCUUCGAGUUGGUUGUCCGUAUCCGCGAAUUGAUUCCCUUCAGGGAGGGUAGGACACCAGGUCGGGAAGAGCAAUUCUUUGGGCUGCCCCGGUCGCACAAUUCCUGUGCUUCCCUAAUUCGACAACCCGAACAGGCCAAUGCUGACUGUCGGAAUGUCCCUGCCAGGCCCAUUCAUGUCCCUUUCAGGCCACUUCAAGGGCCUGUCCCGGCAAUAUAACUUGUCCCGGGUGUAGCCCCCGUGCCAAUUUAAACCCUUGUACCGAGCAAUUUCGACCAAUUGCGGGGUCGGCCCGGAAACUCUCAGGCAGGCGUCCAGGAUCGCGGGAGUUGAAGGAACUUUACGAAACUCUGUAAGGGGAGCACUCACAAGUACCUCUCGUGCGUACUGCAUCGGUAUCGAUUCCGGUACAUGGGGCAGGAAGUGGCAGGAACCCUACACGCCUGGUUACUGUACUCCAUACUCCGUACUCAUUCAUUCAUACAUUCAUUGUGUGUGUGUGUGCAACGAAAAGGUACCACCACCCGAACCUACCCGAACCAGAGGUUUGUGUGCAUGGCGAGCCGCCCACGAUAUAACACCCCUUUCAUCCCAUCCAUUCAUUCAUUCAUUCAUAUAUUCAUUCAUCCAAAUAUUCUCACAGAUGAAGAGAUGUAAACACGUGCCUUGCCCUGCACUGUGGUGUGGCCCGGCACAGUGUAACACCCCAUUCAUUCAGUAUAAGGAGGUCUCCUUUCGGGUGCUUUUG
rnacentral:lncRNA from 1 species